UCAGACGAAGAAGGGAUCAAGCAAUCAGAACGUCGUAGUCAUCUUACUAGCGACUAGGAUGGAUGGAACAUCACAUUCAGUACUAGAGAAUCAAGUCUUGGGUUCUGGGGGGAGUAUGGCGCAAGACUGAAACUUAAGGAGAGUGGGCGGAGGGCACCACCAGGAGUGGAGCUGCGGCUUAAUUGACUCAACACGGAGGAAGCGUACCAGGUCCAGACAUAGUAAGGUUGCUGAUUGAUAGCUCUUUCUUGAUUGCUUGGGUGGUGGUGCAUGCCGUUCUAGUUGGUGGAGUGAUUUGUCUGGUUAAUUCCGAUAACGAACGAGACCUUAACUGCUAACUAGAUAUUUUCAUUUUAUGAAUAUAUCUUCAUAAAAGAGAACUAUGUAAUUUAAGUAUAUGGAAGUUUGAGGCAAUAACAGGUCUGUGAUGCCCUUAUAUGUCCUGGGCUGCACGCGUGCUACACUGAUAUAUACAACAAGUGCCUAGCUAGAUAUAGUAUGGCAAUCUCGAAUAUAUAUCGUGAUGGGGAUAGAUCUUGCAAUUAUAGAUCUGAACGAGGAAUUCCUAGUAAGUGCAAGUCAUCAUCUGCAUUGAUUAUGUCCCUGCCCUUUGUACACACCGCCCGUCGCUCCUACCGAUACCGGGGAUCCGGGACCC
rnacentral:rRNA from 1 species